rnacentral:misc_RNA from 1 species
GAAAAGAUAAAAGAAAGUCCGGUAGGGGACGUUGUCCAGACCACUGAGUUCCUGGCCUUGGUGCUGGCAAGAAGGGAAUGAGCAACCCUUUCAACACUUCCCUUCACCAAAAUUCUGCACCUUGAUGCGGCCAUUGAUAACUGAUGCUGAUAGGUCUUCUACGAUACAAAGCUGAUUGAUACACCCGCAUUUUUCACCUUCGACACAAAAUGUAUCAUCGAUGAAUUUUCGAAACCGUAAGUCGAUGGAUGAACACUACAAUAGUGAAGUAAACGACACCGUAUUGACCGGAAAAAUCAGCUGCACCACGGUGG